rnacentral:rRNA from 1 species
UCGCACAAGCGGUGGAGCAUGCGGUUAAUUCGAUGCAACCCGAAGAACCUUACCAGGUCUUGACAUCCCAUUGACAGGUUUAGAGAUAAAUCUUCCUUCGGGACAAUGGAGACAGGUGGUGCAUGGUGUCGUCAGCUCGUGUCGUGAGAUGUCGGGUUAAGUCCCGCAACGAGCGCAACCCUCGACCUUAGUUGCCAGCAUUCAGUUGGGCACUCUAAGGUGACUGCCGGCUAAAAGUCGGAGGAAGGUGGGGAUGACGUCAAAUCAUCAUGCCCCUUAUGACCUGGGCUACACACGUGCUACAAUGGGCGGUACAAAGGGUCGCGAACCCGCGAGGGGGAGCCAAUCCCAAAAAGCCGCUCUCAGUUCGGAUUGCAGGCUGCAACUCGCCUGCAUGAAGCCGGAAUCGCUAGUAAUCGCGGAUCAGCAUGCCGCGGUGAAUACGUUCCCGGGCCUU